rnacentral:rRNA from 1 species
UACGGAGGGUGCAAGCGUUAUCCGGAUUCACUGGGUUUAAAGGGCGCGUAGGCGGCGUGACAAGUCACUUGUGAAAUCUCCGGGCUUAACUCGGAACGGUCAAGUGAUACUGUCGUGCUAGAGUACAGAAGGGGCAACUGGAAUUCUCGGUGUAGCGGUGAAAUGCGUAGAUAUCGAGAGGAACACCUGCGGCGAAGGCGGGUUGCUGGGCUGAUACUGACGCUGAGGCGCGAAAGCCAGGGGAGCGAACGGG